rnacentral:rRNA from 1 species
UACGGGGGGGGCAAGCGUUGUUCGGAAUUACUGGGCAUAAAGGGCUCGUAGGUGGCCAACUAAGUCAGACGUGAAAUCCCCAGGCUCAACUUGGGAACUGCGUCUGAUACUGGAUGGCUUGAAUUCGGGAGAGGGAUGCAGAAUUCCAGGUGUAGCGGUGAAAUGCGUAGAUAUCUGGAGGAAUACCGGUGGCGAAGGCGGCAUCCUGGACCGAUAUUGACACUGAGGAGCGAAAGCCAGGGGAGCAAACGGG